ACAAGCGGUGGAUGAUGUGGAUUAAUUCGAUGCAACGCGAAAACCUUACCUACCCUUGACAUGCUAGGAACUUGCCAGAGAUGGCUUGGUGCCCGAAAGGGAACCUAGACACAGGUGCUGCAUGGCUGUCGUCAGCUCGUGUCGUGAGAUGUUGGGUUAAGUCCCGCAACGAGCGCAACCCUUGUCAUUAAUUGCCAUCAUUCAGUUGGGCACUUUAAUGAGACUGCCGGUGACAAACCGGAGGAAGGUGGGGAUGACGUCAAGUCCUCAUGGCCCUUAUGGGUAGGGCUUCACACGUAAUACAAUGGUCGGUACAGAGGGUUGCCAACCCGCGAGGGGGGAGCCAAUCCCAGAAAACCGAUCGUAGUCCGGAUUGCAGUCUGCAACUCGACUGCAUGAAGUCGGAAUCGCUAGUAAUCGCGGAUCAGCAUGUCGCGGUGAAUACGUUCCCGGGCCUU
rnacentral:rRNA from 1 species